rnacentral:lncRNA from 1 species
AGCUACCUGUGUGAUUGAGUUCCUCUAUCAUGAGUCCUGACUGAAUUAGGGUUAAGGUGAACUCGUCAAACCCAACAUCAGUCAUAUGAAUCAAUCGAUCGAUCCGAGUCCGAUGUGAAACCCCAAUGGAAAACUCUUUUCCAUUAUUUCACUCUGCCAUGGCCAUGGGCUUAAGGACUCGAUCUUUCGAUCACCAUAGGACUACUCCUCUCAUCUACCGAGGUUGAUAGAUCCCAUCUUGGUGCGAUCUGGUUCCUACAAUGA